UACGUAGGUGGCAAGCGUUGUCCGGAAUUAUUGGGCGUAAAGCGCGCGCAGGUGGUUUCUUAAGUCUGAUGUGAAAGCCCACGGCUCAACCGUGGAGGGUCAUUGGAAACUGGGGAACUUGAGUGCUGGAGAGAAGAGUGGAAUUCCACGUGUAGCGGUGAAAUGCGUAGAGAUGUGGAGGAACACCAGUGGCGAAGGCGACUCUUUGGACCGUAACUGACACUGAGGCGCGAAAGCGUGGGGAGCAAACAGG
rnacentral:rRNA from 1 species